rnacentral:rRNA from 1 species
CUUGGGGGCAGCUACACAUGCAGUCGAGCGGUAGAGAGAAGCUUGCUUCUCUUGAGAGCGGCGGACGGGUGAGUAAUGCCUAGGAAUCUGCCUGGUAGUGGGGGAUAACGUUCGGAAACGGACGCUAAUACCGCAUACGUCCUACGGGAGAAAGCAGGGGACCUUCGGGCCUUGCGCUAUCAGAUGAGCCUAGGUCGGAUUAGCUAGUUGGUGGGGUAAUGGCUCACCAAGGCGACGAUCCGUAACUGGUCUGAGAGGAUGAUCAGUCACACUGGAACUGAGACACGGUCCAGACUCCUACGGGAGGCAGCAGUGGGGAAUAUUGGACAAUGGGCGAAAGCCUGAUCCAGCCAUGCCGCGUGUGUGAAGAAGGUCUUCGGAUUGUAAAGCACUUUAAGUUGGGAGGAAGGGUUGUAGAUUAAUACUCUGCAAUUUUGACGUUACCGACAGAAUAAGCACCGGCUAACUCUGUGCCAGCAGCCGCGGUAAUACAGAGGGUGCAAGCGUUAAUCGGAAUUACUGGGCGUAAAGCGCGCGUAGGUGGUUUGUUAAGUUGGAUGUGAAAUCCCCGGGCUCAACCUGGGAACUGCAUUCAAAACUGACUGACUAGAGUAUGGUAGAGGGUGGUGGAAUUUCCUGUGUAGCGGUGAAAUGCGUAGAUAUAGGAAGGAACACCAGUGGCGAAGGCGACCACCUGGACUAAUACUGACACUGAGGUGCGAAAGCGUGGGGAGCAAACAGGAUUAGAUACCCUGGUAGUCCACGCCGUAAACGAUGUCAACUAGCCGUUGGAAGCCUUGAGCUUUUAGUGGCGCAGCUAACGCAUUAAGUUGACCGCCUGGGGAGUACGGCCGCAAGGUUAAAACUCAAAUGAAUUGACGGGGGCCCGCACAAGCGG